AUAUCAAUAAGCGGAGGAAAAGAAACCAACAGGGAUUGCCCUAGUAACGGCGAGUGAAGCGGCAACAGCUCAAAUUUGAAAUCUGGCUCUUUUAGAGUCCGAGUUGUAAUUUGCAGAGGGCGCUUUGGCUUUGGCAGCGGUCCAAGUUCCUUGGAACAGGACGUCACAGAGGGUGAGAAUCCCGUACGUGGUCGCUGGCUAUUGCCGUGUAAAGCCCCUUCGACGAGUCGAGUUGUUUGGGAAUGCAGCUCUAAAUGGGAGGUACAUUUCUUCUAAAGCUAAAUAUUGGCCAGAGACCGAUAGCGCACAAGUAGAGUGAUCGAAAGAUGAAAAGCACUUUGGAAAGAGAGUCAAACAGCAC
rnacentral:rRNA from 1 species